UUUCCGUAGGUGAACCUGCGGAAGGAUCAUUCUUGUAUAACCGAUGUGCGAGUGCUGUCGCUGACCCGAACCGUCGUGCACGCCCGAGUGCCCUCACACACAUCCAUCUCACCCCUAUGUGCACUACCGCGUGUGUCUCCCUUUGGCCUGUUCUGAGGAGACCUUACGAUUUCACCCAACAUUAACAUACCUCGUAGAAUGUAUUUUUUGUUUUUGCGCACACGCACUCAAUAGAACACUCAACAACGGCACUCUUGGCUCCUGCAUCGAUGAAGAACC
rnacentral:misc_RNA from 1 species